rnacentral:lncRNA from 1 species
AUCUUUCUGCGGAACGGGCUUGGGAACCACGUCCUCCUGAUCUGAAAUGGUUAAGUAAGGAAUGAGCUACAUUAGCCCAGUAAAGACAUCACACUAUCUCACUGCCACAGAAGUAAAGGUUGGUAGAAAACAAAAACGACCAAUGGAGCAUAACUUAUAACAAACUCAUUUAUUAAUAAUAAAAAUCUUUACUAUCCACUUACCUCGGUGAGAUUCAUGAAAAUAACAUAU